CCUCCUUAUACGAUUUAGAACUUAUUUGUUCGUAGUGUCCACACAGAUGAUUGUUAGUUAGUAAUGCUCUUUGAGUUUACUAAUUAAUAUGCUCUUUAAAAAUUUGGAAAAGCUGAUAAUAAAAUUCGUAUGAAUAACAGUGUUAUUUGUACAGAGUUUUCAAAAGUAAAAAAGAAUGAUAGCAGUAUCAUUCAGUGCCAAUUUAAUCAUUUAUGAUUAAUUGGUAUCUACUUUAGUAUUCAAUAUUAACUUCUGGCGAAGUUAAACUGUCACAUAACAAAGACCCGUUUGGGUUGUAUGGUUAAGUGACUAANCGUACACGGUGGAUGCCU
rnacentral:misc_RNA from 1 species